rnacentral:lncRNA from 1 species
CACUGCUUCUUCAUGGUGCCAGAGUUCUUAUACUGGUUUCUUCUCAUCUGGAGAAGCUGUCACUUCUUGUUUUUUAUUUACUUUCAUUUAGAUGGGAUUAUUUUCCCCAUGACAGUGUGACUAUAGUAUAAGUUGAGUAGCGUCCUUUAGCUUUUAUUCUUUAGCCUUGUGUACUUCUUGUUAGCAUGUUUUGUAUCGGGCUUUGCAGUUCAACCUCCAGACCAGUAGGUGGUGCUUAUGGGAAAAAGCUGUCUGUCACAGAAGCAGAUGGGUAUUUGCUUGAUCUCGGUUUAUUGGGAGGAACAGAAACACCAAGCUCACCCAUGAAUACUUCAAUGAGGAGCACAGGCACCAGCUCUGACGGGAGUGACUGAGGGAGCUCCUGGUGAAAUGUGCCAAGGUUGCUGCAGUUGGAGAGGGGGCUCCACCAGCUCCACAUCCUGGGCAGACAGGAACACAGUCUCUUUCUGUAUCACACCCUUGUGCCAGGGCUGAUGACUCUCAGUUCAGGCAGACACUGUCAUCUAACGCCAGGCCACAAUGUCACCGAAAGCCAGGGAAAACACCUGUCCCGUGAUUCUUCACUGGAAUGGCUUCAGCAUGGAAUCUCUUCCCUCAGCUCAAUACAGACAACUUUGUGGCUCUCCUGUUCUCCAGUGUAGGAACACUGCUGCUUCAUAGAGAGAGGGGGAAUGGUUCUGCCUUACAGUACAUGCAGAUGAUCUAUUCAAAGUGUGAAUAUUUACUAUUUUGAUUCAUCUCCAUGGAAGAGGAACCCACUAGCUGCUUCUAGUCAGCCAUCUUGAACCAGAAGCCCUUAUUUUACUUUUAUUUGUACUUUUUCUUUCAAAAAACUUUUUAAAUAUGUCAUUAAAAUGGUAAAUUUGCAAGUUUAAGUGAAAUCUAGUUUAGAAUUGAUGAAUUGUUAGUGAUGAUAUUCACAUCAUGAAAGUACUCAAUAGCAACUAGCCAAAGACAUUACUUUGAGGCAUGAAAAUAUCCUGUGUCUGUUUCUGCAAUAUAUGUUUAUUUCAGGAUAAAAAAAGAAAUUGUUUCUAUAAUGGAUUUUCACAUGGAACAAGUAAAAUGUUCUUGACUGAAUAUGUUGGCUGUCUUUUCUUCCAACAAACCAUUAGUUUACCAGUGUUGACAUUAGAAACAGCUCCUUACUAAAAAAUAAAAAUGUACCACCAAUGGAUCUCAGCUCUUAAGUGGAUUUCUAGUGACUAUGAUACUUGCAUGAAGUUCAG